ACGGGCAUGCUCACGUGCACCUCUCCUUCCAGUCCCAGUCGUUUCCUGCUGUCCCCCCAGGAGCCGUAGGCAGGACCCUAGCUUAGCCCUCCCAGAGCUCCAGGCUGGCGGUGGGGCGCAGCUGAGGGAGGUGUCCCAGAGGAGGGGCCUUUGGGGAUGAUGAGGCUUUGCCAGUGGGAUAGGAGUCUACCAAGUGUUGUGCGAAGAGGGAGGGAAGGCCCCAGGCUGACUGGCGUGGGAUUCGAACCAUGCUUGCCAUGCACGGUCUGCUUCUCUGGACUAGCACAUCCAUUGCUGCUGGAGAGACACUGAGAGGGGGAGGAAGACGAGAGCCCAGGCUGCCGGGUGGACCCCAGCUGCGCUCCCAAGACCCCAGGGUGCUGGCUCCACACCUGCUUCUCAGGUGGAGCGGUGCCAGCCCUCAACAGCUGGCUUCUGCCAGGCACAUUGGCCCUGCAGCCCCCAGGUGAGGAGGGGUCUCGGGGCCUCCUGUAGGCCCUACAUCCCUGCAGCCACCCGGCGAGGUGGGACGCUCCCCCUGCACUUGUCCCACUGGUGUUGCGAUGGGGAUGGGGACAGGGCCCCAGACAGCAGCUCUGUGCCUCCUCUGGCUCACAGGGACCCUGCGUGUGGGUCACCUCUGAAUGUGGGGCCACGCCCAGCGAGCGCACAGGCCAAGGUGGGGUGGGCAUCCAGUGGGGUGGGGAAAUGUGGCCCAGCCCCACGUGAGGCUGCAUUGGUGGCACUGGGGACCUGGCAUCUGGAGCCCUGCAGCCCCCCCGAGACACACCUGAGCCAGCUUCCCGGCUUUCCGGUGUGUUUCGGCCCUCGUGUGUGUGGCGUGCGCCUGCGCUCUGGGUCCCUGCGCCUCUGCCUCUGCUCCUGCUGCACAAGGGCCCCUGUCCAGCCUGCCUGCCAGCUUGUGUGAGCAAGCAGGGCGUGACACAGGCCGGCACAGCCCUGACCCACAGCUAGCUGCAUGUCAUAUGCACAGCCUGCAGCCACCCUGCACAGGCGGCGGGGCUGCUGCCUACACGCGUGUGCCCGGCGGGGACGUGUGGGCCGCUGGGUAUGCAUUUGUGUGUGCCCGGCGGGGACGUGUGGGCCACCGUGUAUGCAUUUGUGUGUGCCCAGCGGGGACGUGUGGGCCGCCGGGUAUGCACACGUGUGCCCGGCGGGGACGCUGCAGGCAGACGUGGGUGUGCAUAUGUGUGGGUUCCUCACAAAACCUGUGUGCUGGGGGCGUCCUUGUGUGGCCCGGCCUGGCCUUUGACCCACUGGGAUAGCCUGGCUGGGUCAGGACAGAUGGGGCCAGACAGCCUCCACGUUCUUGGGCUGUGACUCAGGCCUGUGGGGAGGGGUGAGUCACGGGACCGUGGGCUGCCCAGCCCAGUGCCCCCCAGCAUGGACAGAGCCCCCUCCUGGGGACGGGGACGUCCAGCCUGCGUGCCGCCCUGCGCUGGAGCUCAGGCACCCACGGCCUGGGGAGGCCCGCCCCCGCGCAGGCCAGCAGCAGAACCCAGAGGACCCUACUCCUUCCUCCCGGCCUCAGCCUCCUGCAGCCUGGUUCCCCAGGAGGGAGGCCUGAAUGCUGGGGACCCGAGUCACGCCAGCAGGCAUUGGCGCCCAUGCUUUGUGGUGCCGGCCCACCCGAGUCACGCACACUCAGCGCCGGCCCAGCUGCUCCCACGUCGACACCCGGGUGGGCUGGCGCCUUGCAAACGCACUGGGCAUCCUCGCACACCGCACGCCCUGGUUCCGGCAGGCCCUCUCCCGUGCGCACAGCAACCCCCUUCUCCCUGUGGUCCCCACCGGACCUCUGCCCCGCACAUACGCGCCCCACACCUGGCAACGCGCGCUCAG